rnacentral:lncRNA from 1 species
GAUCGUAAUUCCCCUUCAUUGGUCGCAUUAGGGUUUGGCCAUGGCUCGUGGUCCCGGCUCAAGAACCACUACAGGAUUAAUGGGUACCUAAUGAAUCUGAAUCUGAAUAUGAGCAUGUAAGAACAUCAUCAUAAUCAUUGGUGAAAACUUUUAUUAUUGUUAUAUAUAUGUCUCUUGUUAGGGUAAUUAGCCUAUGGAUUAUUAAUUUUCCAACACAUAUAUGUGUUCUGUCAUUAUGGGACAACAAAGUGCUUUGCGAUUAACUUAUCAAAUUCUGAACAUGUAUAUGUAUAUAGUGUCCUGACCUGCAAUUCCACUUGGUGGUGUAUAUGAGUUAAGAGGCAGAUGACAUCAUGUCAUGAAUGAUCCUAAAUGGCCCAAUGACAACCUUGAAGCUGAGUAUAGAAUUUUUUUGAGUUGUCGCUUUUCGUUGCCGACUGGCUGGAAAUAGUAUGUUCCUUUCUUUUU